rnacentral:rRNA from 1 species
UUAAGUUAUUAAGGGCGCACGGUGGAUGCCUUGGCACUAGAAGCCGAUGAAGGACGUUACUAACGACGAUAUGCUUUGGGGAGCUGUAAGUAAGCUUUGAUCCAGAGAUUUCCGAAUGGGGAAACCCAGCAUGAGUUAUGUCAUGUUAUCGAUAUGUGAAUACAUAGCAUAUCAGAAGGCACACCCGGAGAACUGAAACAUCUUAGUACCCGGAGGAAGAGAAAGAAAAUUCGAUUCCCUUAGUAGCGGCGAGCGAAACGGGAAGAGCCCAAACCAAAAAGCUUGCUUGUUGGGGUUGUAGGACACUCUAUACGGAGUUACAAAGGACGACAUUAGACGAAUCAUCUGGAAAGAUGAAUCAAAGAAGGUAAUAAUCCUGUAGUCGAAAAUGUUGUCUCUCUUGAGUGGAUCCUGAGUACGACGGAGCACGUGAAAUUCCGUCGGAAUCUGGGAGGACCAUCUCCUAAGGCUAAAUACUCUCUAGUGACCGAUAGUGAACCAGUACCGUGAGGGAAAGGUGAAAAGCACCCCGGAAGGGGAGUGAAAUAGAACCUGAAACCGUGUGCUUACAAGUAGUCAGAGCCCGUUAAUGGGUGAUGGCGUGCCUUUUGUAGAAUGAACCGGCGAGUUACGAUUUGAUGCAAGGUUAAGCAGUAAAUGUGGAGCCGUAGCGAAAGCGAGUCUGAAUAGGGCGUUUAGUAUUUGGUCGUAGACCCGAAACCAGGUGAUCUACCCUUGGUCAGGUUGAAGUUCAGGUAACACUGAAUGGAGGACCGAACCGACUUACGUUGAAAAGUGAGCGGAUGAACUGAGGGUAGCGGAGAAAUUCCAAUCGAACCUGGAGAUAGCUGGUUCUCUCCGAAAUAGCUUUAGGGCUAGCCUCAAGUGAUGAUUAUUGGAGGUAGAGCACUGUUUGGACGAGGGGCCCCUCUCGGGUUACCGAAUUCAGACAAACUCCGAAUGCCAAUUAAUUUAACUUGGGAGUCAGAACAUGGGUGAUAAGGUCCGUGUUCGAAAGGGAAACAGCCCAGACCACCAGCUAAGGUCCCAAAAUAUAUGUUAAGUGGAAAAGGAUGUGGCGUUGCCCAGACAACUAGGAUGUUGGCUUAGAAGCAGCCAUCAUUUAAAGAGUGCGUAAUAGCUCACUAGUCGAGUGACACUGCGCCGAAAAUGUACCGGGGCUAAACAUAUUACCGAAGCUGUGGAUUGUCCUUUGGACAAUGGUAGGAGAGCGUUCUAAGGGCGUUGAAGCAUGAUCGUAAGGACAUGUGGAGCGCUUAGAAGUGAGAAUGCCGGUGUGAGUAGCGAAAGACGGGUGAGAAUCCCGUCCACCGAUUGACUAAGGUUUCCAGAGGAAGGCUCGUCCGCUCUGGGUUAGUCGGGUCCUAAGCUGAGGCCGACAGGCGUAGGCGAUGGAUAACAGGUUGAUAUUCCUGUACCACCUAUAAUCGUUUUAAUCGAUGGGGGGACGCAGUAGGAUAGGCGAAGCGUGCGAUUGGAUUGCACGUCUAAGCAGUAAGGCUGAGUAUUAGGCAAAUCCGGUACUCGUUAAGGCUGAGCUGUGAUGGGGAGAAGACAUUGAGUCUUCGAGUCGUUGAUUUCACACUGCCGAGAAAAGCCUCUAGAUAGAAAAUAGGUGCCCGUACCGCAAACCGACACAGGUAGUCAAGAUGAGAAUUCUAAGGUGAGCGAGCGAACUCUCGUUAAGGAACUCGGCAAAAUGACCCCGUAACUUCGGGAGAAGGGGUGCUCUUUAGGGUUAACGCCCAGAAGAGCCGCAGUGAAUAGGCCCAAGCGACUGUUUAUCAAAAACACAGGUCUCUGCUAAACCGUAAGGUGAUGUAUAGGGGCUGACGCCUGCCCGGUGCUGGAAGGUUAAGAGGAGUGGUUAGCUUCUGCGAAGCUACGAAUCGAAGCCCCAGUAAACGGCGGCCGUAACUAUAACGGUCCUAAGGUAGCGAAAUUCCUUGUCGGGUAAGUUCCGACCCGCACGAAAGGCGUAACGAUUUGGGCACUGUCUCAACGAGAGACUCGGUGAAAUCAUAGUACCUGUGAAGAUGCAGGUUACCCGCGACAGGACGGAAAGACCCCGUGGAGCUUUACUGUAGCCUGAUAUUGAAAUUCGGCACAGCUUGUACAGGAUAGGUAGGAGCCUUUGAAACGUGAGCGCUAGCUUACGUGGAGGCGCUGGUGGGAUACUACCCUAGCUGUGUUGGCUUUCUAACCCGCACCACUUAUCGUGGUGGGAGACAGUGUCAAGCGGGCAGUUUGACUGGGGCGGUCGCCUCCUAAAAGGUAACGGAGGCGCUCAAAGGUUCCCUCAGAAUGGUUGGAAAUCAUUCAUAGAGUGUAAAGGCAUAAGGGAGCUUGACUGCGAGACCUACAAGUCGAGCAGGGUCGAAAGACGGACUUAGUGAUCCGGUGGUUCCGCAUGGAAGGGCCAUCGCUCAACGGAUAAAAGCUACCCCGGGGAUAACAGGCUUAUCUCCCCCAAGAGUUCACAUCGACGGGGAGGUUUG